AGCAAUUACUCCAAGAGGAACCGCAAAUUGAGUUCAGUGGAGAGGAAGCCUAUGGAUCUGGAUAUGCAUGAGUUGUACAAUGAUUACAUAAAUUCUAAGUUUGGCAAGCAAAUCGAUUAUUCUUCUUAUCUUGAAGUGUUUUCACAACCACAUACCAUCCUUCAGAAACUGAAAUUGACGAGGGAAAAGGCUAAAUCCUGGAAGUUCAUUUUACGUCUCUUGCUUAUAUACACGUCUUACAUAGGAUCAACUUGAAUAACAUUUUUCAAAGGAGGGAAAGGUUAGUUUAUUUCAAUGAACCUGAUUAUGAGAUACAUUUAAGUCUUACAUAUGUUGUUAUUUUGUUCUGUUUCUGCUUCAUUGAUUUCACAUUUUCGCUUCACUGGACCUUCCUCAAUUGUACAUUAUUUUACCAAAUUGCCCUUGAUGACACAUAUGUAUAUAGUUUUAUGUUAUAUACCGAAUUAUCAUAUAAAUACUGGUACUUUGGAAUG